rnacentral:rRNA from 1 species
AAUCCAUAGGUUAAUGAGGCGAACCGGGGGAACUGAAACAUCUAAGUACCCCGAGGAAAAGAAAUCAACCGAGAUUCCCCCAGUAGCGGCGAGCGAACGGGGAGGAGCCCAGAGCCUGAAUCAGCAGGUGUGUUAGUGGAAGUGUCUGGAAAGGCACGCGAUACAGGGUGAAAGCCCCGUACACGAAAAUGCACCUGGUGUGAGCUCGAUGAGUAGGGCGGGACACGUGGUAUCCUGUCUGAAUAUGGGGGGACCAUCCUCCAAGGCUAAAUACUCCUGACUGACCGAUAGUGAACCAGUACCGUGAGGGAAAGGCGAAAAGAACCCCGGCGAGGGGAGUGAAAAAGAACCUGAAACCGU